rnacentral:rRNA from 1 species
CUGCUGCCUCCCGUAGGAGUUUGGGCCGUGUCUCAGUCCCAAUGUGGCCGUCCACCCUCUCAGGCCGGCUACUGAUCGC